CAGGAACCUCUCUGCUGCUUUUCUAACCACACCCAGGAGUAGAGCGCAUGGCUGGACUUCCAUGGAAUAUAUGACGGCUCUUUCCUGCUCAGUUUCCUAAUCAGCAGAAUGAUAGCUAUGCUCCCACACUCUGCAGGCUGAGCCUCUUUUCUGAAGAAAAUGCAGAGGAACCAAAUGUGUUUUGGCCAGGGAAGAGAUGGUCAUGUGUAUCGCUUAGGAAGUUCAUCCUGACCGUUGUACACAGGUUAGCUGGGAGGACAGCAAGACAAGAGUCAUGGAGACCCUUCUCAUGGCUCCAGCAGGCCACCGAAACGAGACCAUCUCCUAGAUGGAAGGGCAGCUGACAGCAAUGGCAUCCUAUGCAGCCCACACUGGGGAAAGCCUUCCAGAAAAUUUUGUGGAACAGAGAAGGAAGGAGACAGAUCGUUUUCAGCCUGAACAGAGGCCUUCCAAAAGUCUUCCCGAAUUAUCCCGAGGGGCUUCAGAUGGGCUCAUCAGCUGCCUUUGGAACAGCAUCAGGUAGGGGGUCCCAGCUCCUCUAAGAGCACAGGUGAGGGGUCCGUGGUCUCUGCUUCACUAUGCAUCCCACCUGCUGCUCAGAGCUCU